rnacentral:rRNA from 1 species
CGCGGCCUAUCAGCUUGUUGGUGGGGUGAUGGCCUACCAAGGCGGUGACGGGUAGCCGGCCUGAGAGGGCGACCGGCCACACUGGGACUGAGACACGGCCCAGACUCCUACGGGAGGCAGCAGUGGGGAAUAUUGCACAAUGGGCGCAAGCCUGAUGCAGCGACGCCGCGUGAGGGAUGACGGCCUUCGGGUUGUAAACCUCUUUCGCCUGGGACGAAGGGUGAUACUGACGGUACCUGGAGAAGAAGCACCGGCCAACUACGUGCCAGCAGCCGCGGUAAUACGUAGGGUGCAAGCGUUGUCCGGAAUUAUUGGGCGUAAAGAGCUCGUAGGCGGUUCGUCGCGUCUGCUGUGGAAACGCAAGGCUCAACCUUGCGCGUGCAGUGGGUACGGGCGGACUAGAGUGCAGUAGGGGAGUCUGGAAUUCCUGGUGUAGCGGUGAAAUGCGCAGAUAUCAGGAGGAACACCGGUGGCGAAGGCGGGACUCUGGGCUGUAACUGACGCUGAGGAGCGAAAGCAUGGGGAGCGAACAGGAUUAGAUACCCUGGUAGUCCAUGCCGUAAACGUUGGGCACUAGGUGUGGAGCUCAUUCCACGAGUUCCGCGCCGCAGCUAACGCAUUAAGUGCCCCGCCUGGGGAGUACGG